rnacentral:misc_RNA from 1 species
GCUCCACUGACUCCCAUCAGUGCUGUCAAUACGCCUGGCCUAAAUGCACCAGUCACUUCGCGAAGCAAUUGAAGUCUGUCCUCUGUUACUCCUUGGUCCCUCAUUUCAGGUGGCAUGUCAACAAAGUAGCUCACAUCCUCGAAAGACAUUGCCAGUGGAGUAAAUGGUAGAAUCAUUCCUUUCUUUGCUGCUACACCAUUUGCAGCCUCAAGAUUUGCAUCUUCAUUUCUAUGGAGACCAGUAGAGCCAGUACGACUGCUCAUUCGUCGGAUUUCCAUUUCUCUUGUUCUGUUUCCAUCAGCUGCAGAUAAGGAUCGAGGGAGAUCAUCUCUCUUCGAUCUGUUGACUCUAAGUCUAGGGGGGUCCCUACUUUCUUCUUGAUCAGCUUCCAUAUCCCUGGCCUGCUCUUUG